ensembl:lncRNA
GGUGGCUGUAGUGUGUGAAUAGGGUCUGGGGUGGCUGUAGUGUGUGAAUAGGGUCUGGGGUGGCUGUAGUGUGUGAAUAGGGUCUGGGGUGGGUGUAGUGUGUGAAUAGGGUCUGGGGUGGCUGUAGUGUGUGAAUAGGGUCUGGGGUGGCUGUAGUGUAUUAGUAGUGUGUGAAUAGGGUCUGGGGUGGCUGUAGUAUAUUAGUAGUAUAUUAGUAGUGUGUGAAUAGGGUCUGGGGUGGGUGUAGUUAUAUUGUAGUAUAUUAGUAGUGUGUGAAUAGGGUCUGGGGUGGCUGUAGUAUAUUAGUAGUGUGUGAAUAGGGUCUGGGGUGGCUGUAGUAUAUUAGUAGUAUAUUAGUAGUGUGUGAAUAGGGUCUGGGGUGGCUGUAGAAUAUUAGUAGUAUAUUAGUAGUAUGUGAAUAGGGUCUGGGGUGGCUGUAGUAUAUUAGUAGUAUAUUAGUAGUGUGUGAAUAGGGUCUGGGGUGGCUGUAGUGUAUUAGUAGUGUGUGAAUAGGGUCUGGGGUGGCUGUAGAAUAUUAGUAGUAUAUUAGUAGUGUGUGAAUAGGGUCUGGGGUGGCUGUAGUAUAUUGGUAGUAUAUUAGUAGUGUGUGAAUAGGGUCUGGGGUGGCUGUAGUAUAUUAGUAGUAUAUUAGCAGUGUGUGAAUAGGGUCUGGGGUGGCUGUAGUAUAUUAGUAGUAUAUUAGUAGUGUGUGAAUAGGGGCUUGGGUGGCUGUAAUAUAUUAGUAGUGUGUGAAUAGGGUCUGGGGUGGCUGUAGUAUAUUAGUAGUAUAUUAGCAGUGUGUGAAUAGGGUCUGGGGUGGCUGUAGUAUAUUAGUAGUAUAUUAGCAGUGUGUGAAUAGGGUCUGGGGUGGCUGUAGUAUAUUAGUAGUAUAUUAGUAGUGUGUGAAUAGGGUCUGGGGUGGCUGUAGUAUAUUAGUAGUGUGUGAAUAGGGUCUGGGGUGGCUGUAGUAUAUUAGUAGUAUAUUAGUAGUGUGUGAAUAGGGUCUGGGGUGGAUGUAGUAUAUUAGUAGUAUAUUAGUAGUGUGUGAAUAGGGUCUGGGGUGGCUGUAGUGUAUUAGUAGUGUGUGAAUAGGGUCUGGGGUGGCUGUAGUGUAUUAGUAGUGUGUGAAUAGGGUCUGGGGUGGCUGUAGUAUAUUAGUAGUAUAUUAGUAGUGUGUGAAUAGGGUCUGGGGUGGCUGUAGUAUAUUAGUAGUAUAUUAGUAGUGUGUGAAUAGGGUCUGGGGUGGCUGUAGUAUAUUAGUAGUGUGUGAAUAGGGUCUGGGGUGGCUGUAGUAUAUUAGUAGUAUAUUAGUAGUGUGUGAAUAGGGUCUGGGGUGGAUGUAGUAUAUUAGUAGUAUAUUAGUAGUGUGUGAAUAGGGUCUGGGGUGGCUGUAGUGUAUUAGUAGUGUGUGAAUAGGGUCUGGGGUGGCUGUAGUGUAUUAGUAGUGUGUGAAUAGGGUCUGGGGUGGCUGUAGUAUAUUAGUAGUAUAUCAGUAGUGUGUGAAUAGGGUCUGGG